GGCGUCGCUGCAUCAGAGUUUCCUCCAUUGUGCAAUAUUCCCCACUGCUGCCUCCCACUUCUUCACUUACUAGCGCGCUGCCUAUCCGGCGACCGGCGCACGGGUGAGUAACGCGUAUCCAACCUGCCCAUCACUUGGGGAUAACCUUGCGAAAGUAAGACUAAUACCCAAUGACGUCUCUAGAAGACAUCUGAAAGAGAUUAAAGAUUUAUCGGUGAUGGAUGGGGAUGCGUCUGAUUAGCUUGUUGGCGGGGUAACGGCCCACCAAGGCGACGAUYAGUAGGGGUUCUGAGAGGAAGGUCCCCCACAUUGGAACUGAGACACGGUCCAAACUCCUACGGGAGGCAGCAGUGAGGAAUAUUGGUCAAUGGACGAAAGUCUGAACCAGCCAAGUAGCGUGCAGGACGACGGCCCUCUGGGUUGUAAACUGCUUUUAGUUGGGAAUAAAACGCGGUACGUGUACCGCCUUGUAUGUACCAUCAGAAAAAGGACCGGCUAAUUCCGUGCCAGCAGCCGCGGUAAUACGGAAGGUCCAGGCGUUAUCCGGAUUUAUUGGGUUUAAAGGGAGCGUAGGCCGGAGAUUAAGCGUGUUGUGAAAUGUAGAUGCUCAACAUCUGCACUGCAGCGCGAACUGGUUUCCUUGAGUACGCACAAAGUGGGCGGAAUUCGUGGUGUAGCGGUGAAAUGCUUAGAUAUCACGAAGAACUCCGAUUGCGAAGGCAGCUCACUGGAGCGCAACUGACGCUGAAGCUCGAAAGUGCGGGUAUCGAACAGGAUUAGAUACCCUGGUAGUCCGCACGGUAAACGAUGGAUGCCCGCUGUUGGUCUGAAUAGGUCAGCGGCCAAGCGAAAGCAUUAAGCAUCCCACCUGGGGAGUACGCCGGCAACGGUGAAACUCAAAGGAAUUGACGGGGGCCCGCACAAGCGGAGGAACAUGUGGUUUAAUUCGAUAAUACGCGAGGAACCUUACCCGGGCUU
rnacentral:rRNA from 1 species